ACGAACGCUGGCGGCGUGCUUAACACAUGCAAGUCGAACGGAAAGGCCCUGCUUUUGUGGGGUGCUCGAGUGGCGAACGGGUGAGUAACACGUGAGUAACCUGCCCUUGACUUUGGGAUAACUUCAGGAAACUGGGGCUAAUACCGGAUAGGAACUCCUGCUGCAUGGUGGGGGUUGGAAAGUUUCGGCGGUUGGGGAUGGACUCGCGGCUUAUCAGCUUGUUGGUGGGGUAGUGGCUUACCAAGGCUUUGACGGGUAGCCGGCCUGAGAGGGUGACCGGCCACAUUGGGACUGAGAUACGGCCCAGACUCCUACGGGAGGCAGCAGUGGGGAAUAUUGCACAAUGGGCGGAAGCCUGAUGCAGCAACGCCGCGUGCGGGAUGACGGCCUUCGGGUUGUAAACCGCUUUCGCCUGUGACGAAGCGUGAGUGACGGUAAUGGGUAAAGAAGCACCGGCUAACUACGUG
rnacentral:rRNA from 1 species